rnacentral:lncRNA from 1 species
AAUGCUUCCCCUGCGUUUUCCAGGGCCGAACUAGGAGGCUUGUCGCCUUUCUUUCAAGUCUCCAAAGAUGAUCUUGGGGCUUGCCAGCUUUCUCUCGGUCUAGACGCGAGGGUAAUUAUUAUAGGACAGCUUCUGAUUCUUCUUUUCUCAUUAACAUAUCUGGUCUCUUCAUUCUUCCAUGUCAGGCCACCUGUGAGCCUUGGAUAACUGUUUUGCUGAAGGAUGUAAGACAAGAAUCUUGUGGCUGACACAGGAUGACCUGAGAUGUGGAUGCUUUAAAGGUUUUAUUUCAAACCUUUGCCUCAGCACAUCCGCAUAUAACUUAUUUGACUUGCUGAUAUCUUUCUUAUUCUCCAUCUGCUUGAAAUUUAUCAUGUGAACGCAGUUGCAUUUCGUGACAUUCUUCAUUUAUAUGGUUUACUGCUGUUUAUUUUUGGUUGUGUGUUAUGUCUCUUUUUCAUUUAGGCGGGGAAGGUUAUAAGUUUAUGAAGCCUAGUCAAGGGUCUUUCAAUUUUAAAAGUAAAGUUCAAAAUAUUGUAAUUUUCCAUAAGCAUGGGCAGUCAAUCUAUUUUCAAGCUUAAAGUUUCCAUCAAACAGGUAAACAUUGUUAAUUAAGAUGUGCGAUAUUGUCCAGAAGUUUUGUAUUGGGAGUGGUUUCAAACUCUAAUCUCUAAUCUGCAAACCAGGAAUGAAUUUGUCAACUCUCUGGGUGUAAGCAGUAAGAAGAUAUCAAUGUCCUGAUUAUAGGCCUCUGGACUGCCCUACAGCUCUUGAAUUCUUUGUGAUGAUUGCAGUAUUUAUAGCAUAUCACAAACUUUUUGCUUGCUCCUGGUUGACACAGAUUGUCAGCCAUAUUCUUUUACUGCAAGUUUUGAACUGAGGUAGGCAGGAGAGGGCUAUACUGAACACAGAACACUGAAGGAAACAUUACUCAUUUCUCCGUUAAUACAACAUUAAACUCUCACUGAUCUCAAAUUAGUUUGUUUUUGUCCUUAUUAAUUUUCCAUGGAAAAAUAGUACUGGAUUUGGAUGUCCUUUAGGUGGAAAUAUUAUUUGUUUCUGUCCAUCCUUGCAAGUCGUUUCAUUUCUCUAUCUCACUUGUGUUUGUGAGGCUUCAAAUUUUUAUCUAAGCAGGCCUGAGUUCGAUUUUUUGUUUAUGGUUCCUGCAGCAGAUGCUUUGUACGUGAAAUAUAUAUUAGCUUGGUUUGAAUACCAUAAAGCUGUGACUGGUGUCCACCGCCCAUCAAAUUUUUGAAUUUGAUGCAAUUAUUCCAAGGAUCUUGAGCAUGUGAUGAUGACAUCAUAUCCCUUGGAGUUGCUCUUAGCAACUCAAAAUGAUUCUGCUAAUCUGUGCUCAGUUUGUACUUUCACCCCCUGCCAUUGUUUGGUCUCUCAACUUAACAUGUCC